AUUGAACGCUGGCGGCAGGCCUAACACAUGCAAGUCGAGCGGAUGAAGGGAGCUUGCUCCUGGAUUCAGCGGCGGACGGGUGAGUAAUGCCUAGGAAUCUGCCUGGUAGUGGGGGAUAACGUCCGGAAACGGGCGCUAAUACCGCAUACGUCCUGAGGGAGAAAGUGGGGGAGCUUCGGACCUCACGCUAUCAGGUGAGCCUAGGUCGGAUUAGCUAGUUGGUGGGGUAAAGGCCUACCAAGGAGACGAUCCGUAACUGGUCUGAGAGGAUGAUCAGUCACACUGGAGCUGAGACACGGUCCAGACUCCUACGGGAGGCAGCAGUGGGGAAUAUUGGACAAUGGGCGAAAGCCUGAUCCAGCCAUGCCGCGUGUGUGAAGAAGGUCUUCGGAUUGUAAAGCACUUUAAGUUGGGAGGAAGGGCAGUAAGUUAAUACCUUGCUGUUUUGACGUUACCAACAGAAUAAGCACCGGCUAACUUCGUG
rnacentral:rRNA from 1 species